GAUGAACGCUGGCGGCGUGCCUAAUACAUGCAAGUCGAGCGAACGGACGAGAAGCUUGCUUUUCUGAUGUUAGCGGCGGACGGGUGAGUAACACGUGGAUAACCUACCUAUAAGACUGGGAUAACUUCGGGAAACCGGAGCUAAUACCGGAUAAUAUUUUGAACCGCAUGGUUCAAAAGUGAAAGACGGUCUUGCUGUCACUUAUAGAUGGAUCCGCGCUGCAUUAGCUAGUUGGUAAGGUAAGGGCUUACCAAGGCAACGAUGCAUAGCCGACCUGAGAGGGUGAUCGGCCACACUGGAACUGAGACACGGUCCAGACUCCUACGGGAGGCAGCAGUAGGGAAUCUUCCGCAAUGGGCGAAAGCCUGACGGAGCAACGCCGCGUGAGUGAUGAAGGUCUUCGGAUCGUAAAACUCUGUUAUUAGGGAAGAACAUAUGUGUAAGUAACUGUGCACAUCUUGACGGUACCUAAUCAGAAAGCCACGGCUAACUACGUG
rnacentral:rRNA from 1 species